GGGAAAAUUACCGGCAGGUGGUCUUGACCGGGAAUAAUACCCAGUUUGAUGGUGUGAAGUUUUGAAAUUACCAAGACAUGGCACCAGCAAACAAUAUUAUCCAUACAUGGUAAGAGGUAAGAAGCAUGAUGACACUGGACAAAAUUGCCCUUUCAUAAAAACAACACCCUUCGUCCCAAUCUUCCCUUUUUUCCUUUUAUCUAUUUUUUCUCUUUGCCAUUAUCCUGAGAUACGACUCUUCCUGGGGUUUGGUCCGGUGUCUCACCAAAUUUCUUCUCAAAAUCUCAAAUUAACCGAGGGAUCUUGGAGCAUUCUUCUCCUAGAGUCGAGUUCUAGCCUUUGAUCGCGUUGGAAAGCUCGGAGGAGGUGUUUUCGGGAGAGGUUUUGCCUGGAGAUUCUUGGGGUUUUAAUUUCAACCUUCGAGGUAGGGAUCUCCUGACUUCUUUACAUGUUUAAGUGUUAGUUUGAUGUACAAGAAUCAAGUUUGAUCAUUUAUUUUGAGUCUUGAAUGAAUCUGGUAUAUGCUGAAAAUUUCGUGGGUUCUGGAAAUCUGUCUUUUGGGAGCCCUUCUGCCAGGAAUCAAUUUUUGGUGUCUGAAUAACAGUUAAAGUACGUUUCAAUACGAAAAUUUCGGUACCAAGAUCAUGAAAAACCGAUAAUCACACAAUUAGUUAUGAAUUUUUGAAUACCGGCUGUUUCCUGGAUGCGCGAAUCUGUGUGUGGCUGUCUUCUUUUAAUUUUCUGGGCAUGAUGAACAUUUUGGGUGGCUUUGGGUCUUUUACAGGAGCUGCACAUUUAAGUUAAGAAGGGGUUGGCGUUGGAAUCAAGUGAUUUGGUUAAGUAUACAAUUUUUGGUGAAUUUCUAAAGCAGGGUUGGUCGCCUAGGGCGAAAAUGGUUGCGAAUCUGUUUUUCCUUUGAUUGUUGGGUUAAUCUCCUCUCGUUUCUGAACCUGGAAUUUUUACUGAGCGUAGGAAUUGUAGUCGUGCAACUUUUGGCGUUGGUUCCAAUAUUUUUGGGUUUAAGAUGAAAGAGUUAUGAUUUUUCAAUCGAAUUUACUCGUUCCCGUCCUUAAAUUCAGGUUGUUUAAUUGGAUAUAGUCUAAUGUGGAUAAUUAACUUUGCCAAUUUGACAUGUAGGGAUUUCUCUCCUCCUUUAUAUGUUUAUGAGUUGGUUUGAUGUGUUUAAGAAUGUUUAAACGUCCGUAUUUGUUGUUGGGAGAAAUCUGUCGAAACUAGAAAUCGUAAGCUGAAACACAAGUCCUACCGGUACGAGUUUUGGCCCUACCAGUAGAAAUGAUGUCCAGUAGUGUCUAUUUUUUUGAAAUUCUGGUCUUUUACCGGUAAGAGGUUGUGUCCUACAGGUAGGGAAUGAAUAAUCUGCUUCAUUUUAAAAUUUCGGACGAUCAUAACUUUAUCUUCCGGAAUCCGUUUGGUGCAUAUUAUAUAUUAAAGUUGAUGUAUGGAAAAUCUACUUUCUAAUGGUGGUAGUCUUAUAAUCAAACUCUAAACCUAUAAGAAGUUAUAGUUAAAGUACGGUAGGUUGGUUGCUAGAAUCCAUACCGAUUUUGGAGGUUAUGUCGUAUUUGGAUAUUACGGGUGAUUUGGUACACUCCUAAGUGUUCGAGGUAGAAACGUUAUAUGCAUUGGGCAUUCUUUGCCCUUAGAAUCAUUUGAGUGAGACACGAAUGUUCCUAGGUGCGUUUAACUAUUUGAAUGGUCUACCGAGCCUUAGGGUAGUAGGCUAGCACACUUGGGAAAAAGUUUGUGGACACCUAGAGAAAGUAGGAGGUUGAGUGGUUGAUUGUAUAUUAAAGUUGGAUCGGGAAUAUUUGAAUGACGAUGAUUGAUUAUAUUGAUGAAAUGAAAAUUUGAGUUACAACUAUUAAUUUCCUCUUGAACUAUAAAUCGGAAGGUGAAGUCGUCGUUUGUAGCUACUUGGAUGAAGUUGAGUUUCUGAUCAAUUAGUAAAUACUUGGUAGUAGAGUAAAUAGUAUCCAGUUAGCAUAUUCUAGAGGGUGGUUUUAAAUAUCUUCGAUGUGAGAACCGGAAAAGUGAUGAGAGAUUCCAAGGGAAGUGAGAUGAGUUUGCAGUUGGAGGUGCAGUAAGCUGCGUUUCCUGGCCUAUUUUCAGAUGGGGUGGCGGAAAAGAGGAUAAGUAUUUUGCCCGAAUUGGUAAAAUUGUUAUCUCUGUCUAUGAAACAGACACCUUUACUCUUAUUGACAAGAAAUCCAUAAAGGUUGAAAACGUUAAGGACAUUAGUUGGUCGCCUACUGAUCCCAUUCUUGCACUCUUUGUUCCUGAACUUGGAGGAGGAAACCAACCUAUAAGGGUGAGUCUCAUUCAAAUCCCUGGCAAAGAGGAGUUGACGCAGAAGAAACUUUUCAGUGUUAGUGAUUGCAAAAUGUAUUGGCAAAGCAGUGGAGAGUACCUUGCUGCGAAGGUUGAUCGGUGUACUAGUCACCAGCUGGACGUUUCAUCUAACUUGCAGGGUUGAAGGGCUUCAAUGGACAGUCAGAGUUCUACAAUGUCGAUGAGCUUAAAACCAUGGCAACAUCUUAGCAUUUUGGAGUGGAAGCGAUUACACGAAGAAGAGAAAUCAGACAGGCAAUGGCUUAGCAUGAAUCUCUUGCCUUUGUUAAAAGCACGUUGUAUUAUGUCUGUAGCAUGAAUGGGGUUUUGUUGUUGCAUUGUUUGUCAACCUGUUUUCUUUCAGAUAUUAACGGAUGAACAAGAAUAAGGGAUGUCUUCUCCAAUCAAGAGUUGAGGAGCCCAUGUUUUAUCUUUUUUACUUUCAGAAAA